AUCCAGCUGAGGAGUCCCAUAUAGGAAGAAACUCGCGUCCUGGAU
rnacentral:hammerhead_ribozyme from 1 species